rnacentral:rRNA from 1 species
GCCCUUAGAGUUUGAUCAUGGCUCAGAAUCAACGCUGGCGGCGUGCCUCAGACAUGCAAGUCGAACGAUUAAACUCGCCUUCGGGUGAGAUAUAAAGUGGCGCACGGGUGAGUAACACGUAGGUAAUCUACCUUUGAGUGGGGAAUAACGUUCGGAAACGAACGCUAAUACCGCAUAAUGCAGCGGCACCGCAAGGUGAAUGGUUGUUAAAGGAGCAAUCCGCUUAAAGAGGAGCCUGCGGCAGAUUAGCUAGUUGGUAAGGUAACGGCUUACCAAGGCGACGAUCUGUAACCGACCUGAGAGGGUGGUCGGUCACACUGACACUGAAUAACGGGUCAGACUCCUACGGGAGGCAGCAGUCGGGAAUUUUGGGCAAUGGGCGAAAGCCUGACCCAGCAACGCCGCGUGAAGGAUGAAGUAUUUCGGUAUGUAACUUCGAAAGAAUGGAAGAAU